AGAGUUUGAUCCUGGCUCAAGACGAACGCUGGCGGCGCGCCUAACACAUGCAAGUCGAACGAGCGAGAGGAGGUUUACUUUCUCAAGCGAGUGGCGAACGGGUGAGUAACGCGUGAGGAACCUGCCUCAAAGAGGGGGACAACAGUUGGAAACGACUGCUAAUACCGCAUAAGCCCACGACCCGGCAUCGGGUAGAGGGAAAAGGAGCAAUCCGCUUUGAGAUGGCCUCGCGUCCGAUUAGCUAGUUGGUGAGGUAAUGGCCCACCAAGGCAACGAUCGGUAGCCGGACUGAGAGGUUGAACGGCCACAUUGGGACUGAGACACGGCCCAGACUCCUACGGGAGGCAGCAGUGGGGAAUAUUGCACAAUGGGGGAAACCCUGAUGCAGCGACGCCGCGUGGAGGAAGAAGGUCUUCGGAUUGUAAACUCCUGUUGUUGAGGAAGAUAAUGACGGUACUCAACAAGGAAGUGACGGCUAACUACGUGCCAGCAGCCGCGGUAAAACGUAGGUCACAAGCGUUGUCCGGAAUUACUGGGUGUAAAGGGAGCGCAGGCGGGAAGACAAGUUGGAAGUGAAAUCUAUGGGCUCAACCCAUAAACUGCUUUCAAAACUGUUUUUCUUGAGUAGUGCAGAGGUAGGCGGAAUUCCCGGUGUAGCGGUGGAAUGCGUAGAUAUCGGGAGGAACACCAGUGGCGAAGGCGGCCUACUGGGCACCAACUGACGCUGAGGCUCGAAAGUGUGGGUAGCAAACAGGAUUAGAUACCCUGGUAGUCCACACCGUAAACG
rnacentral:rRNA from 1 species